rnacentral:rRNA from 1 species
UACGUAGGGCCCGAGCGUUAUCCGGAAUUAUUGGGUGUAAAGUGCGCGUAGGCGUUCUGUUAAGUCGGUUGUUAAAUCUCAUCGCCUAACGAUGAGACCGCGAGCGAUACUAGCAGAAUUGAGUAACACAGGGGCAAGCAGAAUUUCCAGAGUAGGGGUGAAAUCCGUUGAUACUGGAAGGAAUACCAAUGGCGAAGGCAGCUUGCUGGGUGCUUACUGACGCUGAGUGCGCGAAAGCGUGGGGAGCAAACGGG